rnacentral:lncRNA from 1 species
CUGUCCUUAAGAAGGAUGACUGAAACAUUAUGGGACCCCUGUGUGUCUGCUCUCGUGGAACAGUCAUCAUUGACAAUAAGCUUACCUCUUCAUCCAGAAACUGGGGGAGAGUGGGUUCAGCUAUGUGGCUAGUGGAGGGGUUACAUGACAGACACUUCUACUCCCUGAAGCAAAUCCUGUGUCAGGAGCAGGAGCAGCAGGACUGGGAGGAGGCUCAGUGGGAAGCCGACAUGCAUCGCCUCUUUCACCAACCCAACAUUCUUUGCCUCUUGGCUUACUGUCUGAGAGAGUGUGGUGCUAAGCAUGAGGCCUGGGUGCUGCUACCUUUCUUCAAGAGAGUUACGCUGUGGAAUGAAAUAGAAAGGCUGAAAGACAAAGGCAAUUUCCUGACUGGAGUAUCAAAUCCUUGGCUGCUGUUGGGUAUCUGCAGAGGCCUUGAGGCCAUUCAUACCAAAGGUUAUGCCCACAGGGACCUGAAGCCCACCAAUAUCUUGCUUGGAGAUGAGAGGAAGCCAGUUUUAGUGGACUUGGGUUCCAUGAAUCAAAUAUG